ACAUGCUGUCAAAACAACUGUGCUUAGCUGCGUCUUCUGUCGCUUUCGUUAGGUGUUCCUUGAGACUCUUAACCCUUUCGCUGUCACGGACGUACCGGUACGUCAUCGCGCUUCCCCCCCACAGUGUCACUGACGUACCGGUACGUUCUCUAUCGUGCGUUCAAAAUUUCGCGCCUGUGCGCAAAGCUGGCGCUCCUGGAUCUGCCACGCCAUCUGUUGACUCUUUCUACAAGUUUGUAUAUUCGCCCAGCCUGUGUUAGUCCAUGUAUUGAAGAGUACGGUGCAACUGCCACUCCCCACUUUCUCUUUGCUGAGUGGCGCGGUGGCUCCGCGUUCGCUGUAUCAUGCGUUGCGCGCGUGUGGUUAUGGGUUCAAGGGUUGUUUUGCAAUCUCUGCUGGUUUGAAGGUUUUUAUUUUUCUUCUGUUGGUGUGUCUGCUACGGCACGUCAAGUUCAGCUGCACGUGCCGUUGCCUCUCCAAAAAGGGUGACUCGAUUGCUGCUUUCGCUCUCUCGCCGCACCCUCGCUUCCGACUUGCAGCAGUAAACGUAAAGCCCUUCAAACUUUGUUUUAGCCUUUUUUCAUCUCCCUCUGUCUUCUUGAUCACGCAACGUCCCAUUUCUCUCCGUUGUGCGGGCGACUGAAAGCACAUCCUCCCUGCGCGCGGUUACUUUCGGAUGGCUCGGCGCACGGGACCUUCGUCUGCUCAUUGGAGCGGUGGCUGAAUCCCGAUUCAGAAUACGACCCGAGCUCGGACUCGGACAGAGUUGCAUGCGAGGAAGAGGGUUCCGCAUCGUCAGAUUCGGAUAUUGAACGGAUUUUAUAGUCAGGCUGAUGAUGAUGAUUAUGUUUACUAACAACAGCUGCAGAACACUGAAAUGUGCAUAUUGCAUUGACUAUGUUAUUUGUAUACCAAUCUUAAUCAAAACUAAAUUGCUAUGUUCAUUCCCUGUUAUGCUCGUUACCUGAAACCAAGCCGACACUGGGGGUGCGUCACAGCCAGAAAGGUCCGACAGCGAAAGGGUUAAACUGCAACCUGGGCUGCCUUAUCCCAAGGCCUAUGAUGAGCGUGUGGCUUAAAUGUUUUCGCUGUUUAGGCAUUCUGUAGAAGCCACACGUGAUUUUCUUGCUGCCGAUAGCCACAAAUCCUGUAGUUUAACUUUCUUUUCUUUUUUUUUUCAGGUAUACUGUAUAGACUCAUGUAAGCGCCACUGGCCACACCUUAUUUUUUCGUAAUUCUGGCCAGGUGCGGUCCUUACAAGGGACUAAACCUUUUGGUGAAAAUAGAGCCGCCCCAGCCAGCAACUCAUGCACACCUCAGAUCCAUUGCAUCAGAGUUGUUAACGUGCAGAUUUCGCCAUGUAAUAGCGGCUUGAAAAAAUGUGCAGCGCGCGUCAUCAGGCCACGAAAUGCGACGGCUUCUCCUUUUUGAAUUUUGUUCACAAAUUCUGGGCUGCCACAUUGGAAGUACUGCCCUUACACGAGUCUGUAUGGUAUUGUUCAUCUUUGUUGGUGGAAAAAUGCCCAUAAAACAAAUACUUUUGUCAGUUAUUACAGAGAAAAUGAGUUGAUAAAUACAUACUUAUGGAUGGAAUGCUAAAUCAAUAAAAUAUUCUUUGCACCAGGCUAUGUCACUGCUCUUGAAAGUGGCAAGAUUUCAAUAUAUUAAGUGUAAUUAAGCAUGUGUCACAUUAGAUCCGAUCCUUCUGCAAUAAGACUGCAAUUGAAGUGCAGUCCUUUUGUAAUGAGAUGACAGCAAUUGAAGUGGUGGAUUUGAAAAUGUGAUCCUCUGUCCCCAUGCUCUUUGGCGGGGCCAAAUAGUUUGGCUGCGCACAUGGCUGUUGUAUGAGUGCCAUGAAACAUUAUGAGUGCAGCAGGAUCGACCAGCUUUAUGGAGCAGCAGAACACUGCUGGGUAUUCUCUGGCAGCUGCAGACUGAGUGCCUAGGGACACCUUGGACGUUGCCAACUUCGCCCCGGCCUCAGUCGCUGCCCUCAGCGAUCCUGCUGGGCCCAAGCUGCGCCUUCGCGUCCAUCGCUGUUGUACCGAGCCUGGGCUUCGCCCAGCUGCCAUUGCUGCCAGUGCGCUGUCGUUGAGCUUUGCCCUAACCUGCGUCGCCGUACACAAACUGUGCGAGAACUGAGCUGCAGAGCCAGUUCGUGCCUUUGACUAGGGUGUCAGAACAAAAUGUUUUUCCUUCUGCUUUUAGUUUUGUUUCACUGAAAAAGUUCCAUUUCUGUUCCGGAACAAAAAAAGAAACAUCAGUAACAGUUCAUAAAGGUUUUGGUUUGCGAGCAAAAAUUUUCGAAGCAAUGUAACGAUAAAAACAUGGUACUUACAUUUCUCCAUAAGUGGGUUAUAAAUUUGGAGAUCAUGCUCAGUGCCUUGAGACAAGGCACAAAAUAAUAAAUAACAUUGCGGUUAUGUUUUUACUUGGGUCAUAAAUAUCCUUUCUUUUCGUUUUUCGUUUGGUUCUGUUCCGACACGCUGGCUUUGACAGACUCGCAGUGCCCUGGCCUCAGUGACUUCUAUUGCUAUUUCCCAGGGCAAAGCUUUUAUGAGAGACAAUUGCGGCAAGUUGGGUGCGUUGGUAAACUUGCAUAAUGACAAAUACUAAACGCCACAAAAAAGACAGGGACUAAGAAAUGAAAUAGACGAAACAGCAUCAUGCAGGGCUCCUAGAAAUUCCUAGUACUUUGUCAUUACCACCUCUGAGAGAAGUGCAUUGUCUUCUUUUUGUUCUCGUACUGCACUGCCAUCAUGUUAUGCCUACACCACUAUGCCUUUCAUUCUAUCCUCUGUAGGCUGACCAUAUCACUCAGCUGGCGUGUAAUAUUAUUUCAGCAUUCAAUGCUUUCCUCUUGCAGUUGUAGUCUCCCUACUACAGUUCAGAGGAGGGCAUUUCUUUCAAUUUAUCAAAUAGAAAGAAGCCACCAAGGAAAGUGCUGUGUUCAAAUUCAUUUUCUUAGUACAUAUAGUGAACUUAUGGGGGGACAUGUGUCUUAAGAACGGAAAAUUGCGAUAAAAAAUACAUUUUUGGGAACUAAUUGUUUCAGCAUGUGCAAUGCCUAAUCUACUGUAUCGAAAUUAUUUGCCCAGAAACGCACCCCAAGUGUAAAAAGUGGUGAGAAAGGAGCCCAAAACCGUUCAGAAAUGCCUAAGUUCGCAGGGCUAUAUCUCGUCUUUUCUACUGCUGAGUGCUGCCAUUUUGGUAUCAUUUGAAAAGCUCAAAUUUCCGCCUUUCAGUUCCCCACAUUCUCGCCUCCUAUGACCGCACAGGAAAAGCACAAACUUAAAGCAACCAGGGGCCAGUCUGAUGAAACUCGUGAUGCAUGCUGGAGGUGCCUUCUGACUGGCUGUUCCUAUGGCAACUAGCACCUUGACACUACCAACACAGAACUUGCCUGCUAAACUAAGCCUACCAGGGCCUGCUUCAAAAACUGUUGAUCUGUCUUUUCCUUGCUGAUUAUAUUGCUAACAUGAGUGGCAAAUUUACCCUCUCGAAAAGGUUUGAAACUGGCCAUGUACCUACGGAAAGUGAAGGACAAGCCGUGGCCACUUCCUGCAGCAAGUAGUUUUACUUCGGAGACCGCAAACGAAGUGCCGUUGCCUACUCCCAUGCCUCUCGCACAUGUCCUGACAUGUAGCAGUUGCAUGCUCCACGUAGCUGGACUUAGCUAACUCAAGCAAGCUAGGUGAUUAUUUGUCACCAUCCCAUUUCGAAGGAGAUGCCAAUGAAACAUCACCAUCAUCAUAACGGCAACGUACCAUGCCACAGGUGAAGGGACAUGUGUACCAUGUAGUCUGAAUACCUGUGUUUCCUCUUCAGUACAUGUUGUGGUGCCUCCUUGCAAGGUACAAAUCACUGCUGAAGAUGCGAAUCAUAGAGCUGCUUGUGCAUCUCCAACCAGGCAACAUUGGGCCCAACAGACCAUUGUGCAGAGAGCAGGGCAAGCUGCAGCUCACUGUCGACACCGAGCAGACAGUUCAGAUCAUUCUCGUCAAAACAGCUCGAGAAGACUUCGUCGCAAAGACCCUGUAGUGCGUGGUGCCAAAAAUGCAGCUCCUAUGCAGCCACUCCUCCAGCUUACGCUGUGACUGUGCUGUGACUGUGCUGCGACUGUGCUGCUGGUGCUGCCUGUGCUGCCCGUGCCUGUGACUUUUUUUAGUUUCACAGCAAAGCUGUGUACCUCUACCCUCCAAGGAAAUUUUCAUGUUGUAAGUAAAAAGCUCCCCAUACGUGGGCUGAACCUGAAGAUAGUGCAAUGCUGGGCCUACCCGCGGUGGAGGUGAAGCAGGCGUUAAGCACUCCCCAUACGUGGGCCGAUCCCAAAUAUAGUGCAAUGCCGGGCCGACGCACGGCAGAACUGCAGUUCGUCAUUAAGAGGCCUCUUAAUUACGGCCUCUUAAGAGGCCAGUGCAUCUGCAAAAGGUGGGAAUGGCAUAAACUACAUUAGUACUAUUAGCACUUACAUAAGGAAAAUGGGAUGCUUCCUUAAUGAAUGUUUACGUGAGCAUGCACAGUGUGUCAACAUUAAGACUGGUAGUAAUCUUGCUGUUCAUUGUGCAACGUGUGGCUGUUCACCCCGCCUAAAAGACACACAUGUUCUGAGAAAAUACAGCGAUCAGGUGGCCAGGGUAUUCUUUGAGGCCUUCCCUUUGUUCUUUUCUCUCUUUCAGGCUGUUGUAAAUAGUAUAUAUUUGUAUGGGUUUUAAUAAAGAUGUUAGCACUCA